AGUGAUGUGUUGGUGGAUGUUGUUGGUAGAGGGAGGUGCUUGGCUGGGGUUCUGCAGAGGGUUCCCUUCUGCUUGGCCCUGACCUGCAUCUUCUCCCUACAGGCUGAAGGAUCUGCAUCCAUGUAAAUGUUCCCUCCUGUGCUCCUGCUGGCAUUUCCUUUGCUGUGUCAGUGCUAGGGUGGGACCUCAUGCCCAGCUCAGUGGCUGUCCCCUCUCUGAGGACACCUUGCGGCUAUCCUGCCACAGGGUGUAGGGAGAAGAGCACCCCUGAGAGUGCUUUGUGGGUUGAAUGCUGGGCAAAUUCACCAGACUGAGUCAAGCGCUACCGUAGCCCUGGAGGGCUUCUGCUUUGGGCACCUGGCUCCUGGGGGUGAGAGUUCAGAUCAGACAGACGGACACAAUCUCAGCUCUGUGCUAAUUGCAGAGGAGACGCGGUGCCAGCUCACUCUUUGGGAAGAAAGCAGCAGGAACCAAUUUGAAGAGCCACAUAAAUAUGGAAGUAGGAUUUUUUUGGCGUGGGAGGUGUUACCAGCAGCACACAUUAUGGUUCCUUGGCUUUAUCACACCGUAGGCUUUUAUCGAGACAUGAGUAAGUUCUCUAAAUAAGGAAUAUGAAAAUAGCUUGUGAUAUAGGUUGAGUCAUCAGAAAAAAAUCAAAUGAAGCUUUGACACCAGGGCCUCAGUUGUAAAGUCCUACUGUGUUCUACAGUUUGCGUUAUAAACUAUGGAGUCAUUUCAAUCUGUUUACUUCGGCUUCAAAAUGCAAAGCACUCUGCCAUCUCCGUGACUGUCAGCCUUACCAAAUGGGCCCACUUUUCUGCUGCUGGUGGUGCUGCUUCACCUCCUACCCGUGAACACUUGCAGAGAAUGUAAAGGUUACCCAGAGAAAUGGCUUCUGUGGCUGGAGCUGGGAUGCUUGGCAAUUCUUUUAGACUCCUCUUGUUAUUAAGGAGGACUUAUGGCCCCUAGAUAUCCUUUUCAAGUACUAGCUUCCCCCAUGGAAGUCCAUGGCUGUUGUUUGUAGCUUCUGGCAAUCUGGAAGAGGAAAGAGGGCCAUUUUCCAGGCUGGGUUUUACUGAACUACUCACGUUAGUAAAGUUACUUACAUGAGUAAGCAUUCAUCAGGCUUAAGUCUCCAAGUGAACCAAUCAUGUCGUUUUUCAUGCUCUCUCUCUCUAUGAAUGGGGGUUUAUUUCUGUCACACAGGUACUCCAUUUCUGAGACUCCUUUGUAGAGCAGACAGUGGUUGAUAGUGACUCAUCCCUCCUUAUUAAAUUGCCCCUCCAUCAUGAGCUACCUGCAGGCACUGCUCCAAAAUCCAUUGACUGCAGCAGGAGGAUGGCUCCCUGACACAGGGUGCUGGAUCGAGCCCUAGAUGACUUUUUACUUGAAAUCUGUAUUUUAAGGAGCUGUUUGUUCUACUUGGAGCUAAAAUCACUACUGCGUUGGAAUGGAAUAUUGAGGUCUACGGGACUAAAAUUGGGACAACGGUAUAUCCUAUCUACUGUAAUGCCUCCAGUCACGUUAAGUCAAGUUAGCUGGAAAAUCAAUUGACAUGAAUUCCAGCGUGACCAUUAGCUGAGCCCAGAGAGCCUUGCCAAGAAGAAGCAGAGUUCUAACA
ensembl:lncRNA